UACAGAGGGGCAAGCGUUGUUCGGAAUUACUGGGCGUAAAGGGCGCGUAGGCGGCCCGCUAAGUCGAACGUGAAAUCCCCGAGCUCAACUCGGGAACUGCGUCCGAUACUGGCGGGCUUGAAUCCGGGAGAGGGAUGCGGAAUUCCAGGUGUAGCGGUGAAAUGCGUAGAUAUCUGGAGGAAUACCGGUGGCGAAGGCGGCAUCUGGACCGGCAUUGACGCUGAGGAGCGAAAGCGUGGGGAGCGAACAGG
rnacentral:rRNA from 1 species